GUAGCGAAAAGUUACGCUAAUACCGCAUACGAUCUAUGGAUGAAAGCAGGGGACCGCAAGGCCUUUGUGCUCGUGGAGCGGCCGAUAUCUGAUUAGCUAGUUGGUAGGGGUAAAGGCUUACCAAGGCGACGAUCAGUAGCUGGUCUGAGAGGACGACCAGCCACACUGGAACUGAGACACGGUCCAGACUCCUACGGGAGGCAGCAGUGGGGAAUUUUGGACAAUGGGCGCAAGCCUGAUCCAGCAAUGCCGCGUGAGUGAAGAAGGCCUUCGGGUUGUAAAGCUCUUUUGUCAGGGAAGAAACGGUUCAGGCUAAUAUCCUGGGCUAAUGACGGUACCUGAAGAAUAAGCACCGGCUAACUACGUGCCAGCAGCCGCGGUAAUACGUAGGGUGCAAGCGUUAAUCGGAAUUACUGGGCGUAAAGCGUGCGCAGGCGGUUUUGUAAGUCUGUCGUGAAAGCCCCGGGCUCAACCUGGGAAUUGCGAUGGAGACUGCAAGGCUUGAAUCUGGCAGAGGGGGGUAGAAUUCCACGUGUAGCAGUGAAAUGCGUAGAGAUGUGGAGGAACACCGAUGGCGAAGGCAGCCCCCUGGGUCAAGAUUGACGCUCAUGCACGAAAGCGUGGGGAGCAAACAGGAUUAGAUACCCUGGUAGUCCACGCCCUAAACGAUGUCUACUAGUUGUCGGGUUUUAAUUAACUUGGUAACGCAGCUAACGCGUGAAGUAGACCGCCUGGGGAGUACGGUCGCAAGAUUAAAACUCAAAGGAAUUGACGGGGACCCGCACAAGCGGUGGAUGAUGUGGAUUAAUUCGAUGCAACGCGAAAAACCUUACCUACCCUUGACAUGUCAGGAACCUCCGAGAGAUUGGAGGGUGCCCGAAAGGGAACCUGAACACAGGUGCUGCAUGGCU
rnacentral:rRNA from 1 species